UACGGAGGGGACUAGCGUUGUUCGGAAUUACUGGGCGUAAAGCGCACGUAGGCGGAUUUGUAAGUCAGGGGUGAAAUCCCGGGGCUCAACCUCGGAACUGCCUUUGAUACUGCAAAUCUCGAGUCCGGAAGAGGUGAGUGGAAUUCCUAGUGUAGAGGUGAAAUUCGUAGAUAUUAGGAAGAACACCCGUGGCGAAGGCGGCUCUCUGGGACGGUACUGACGCUGAGACGCGAAAGCGUGGGGAGCGAACAGG
rnacentral:rRNA from 1 species